rnacentral:rRNA from 1 species
GGGGAAUAUUGGACAAUGGGCGAAAGCCUGAUCCAGCAAUGCCGCGUGAGUGAAGAAGGCCUUCGGGUUGUAAAGCUCUUUUGUCAGGGAAGCAACGGUCCGGGCUAAUAUCCUGGGCUAAUGAAGGUACCUGAAGAAUAAGCACCGGCUAACUACGCGCCAGCAGCCGCGGUAAUACGUAGGGUGCAAGCGUUAAUCGGAAUUACUGGGCGUAAAGCGUGCGCAGGCGGUUGUGCAAGACCGAUGUGAAAUCCCCGGGCUUAACCUGGGAAUGGCAUUGGUGACUGCACGGCUAGAGUGUGUCAGAGGGGGGUAGAAUUCCACGUGUAGCAGUGAAAUGCGUAGAGAUGUGGAGGAAUACCGAUGGCGAAGGCAGCCCCCUGGGAUAACACUGACGCUCAUGCACGAAAGCGUGGGGAGCAAAC